rnacentral:lncRNA from 1 species
AGCUGCCUUUUUAAAGAACUGUCAGCAAAGCCAGAGUCUGUCUGAGAUGCUCAGCAAGAGCUGGAAUUUCAUAGCUGUUCAUCCUGAUUCUCCUCUUUCCAGAUUUUCAGUGUAAGGAGUAUAGGCUUGAGCCUUUUAUCACUAGUCAUGGAAAACAAUCCUCCCUCAGGGACAUCAUUGCUAUGGGAGGGAGAAUGUGUGACAGAGAAGAGCUUCUAUGUCCAGACCUUUUUUUUUUUUUUUUUUGAGACUGAGUUUCGCUCUGUCGCCCAGGCUGGAGUGCAAUGGCACAAUCUCGGCUCAUGGCAAGCUCCGCCUCCCGGGUUCACGCCAUUCUCCUGCCUCAGCCUCCCAAGUAGCUGGGACUACAGGUGCCCACCACCACACCCGGCUAAUUUUUUGUAUUUUUAGUAGAGAUGGGGUUUCACCGUGUUAGCCAGGAUGGUCUUGAUCUCCUGACCUCGUGAUCCACCUGCCUUGGCCUCCCAAAGUGCUGGGAUUACAGGCAUGAGCUACCUCGCCCGGUCCGAUUAUGGCCAUUUUUGCAGGAGUAAGGUGGUAUCACAUUGUGGUUUUGAUUGGCAUUUCCCUUAUAAUUACUGAUUAAGAGCAUUUUUUCAUAUGUUUGGUGGCCAUUUGUCUAUCUUCUUUUGAGAAUUGUCUAUUCAUGUCCUUAGCCCACUUUUUGAUGGAAUUGUUUGUUUUUUUCUUGCUGAUUUGUUUGAGUUCCUUGUAAAUUAUUGUUAUUAGUCCUUUGUCAGAUUUAUCAAUCGCAAAAUUUUUCUCCCACUUUGUGGGUUGUCUGUUUAUUCUGCUGAUUGUAUUUUUUCUGUGCAGAAGCUUUUUAGCUUAGUUAAGUCUCAUCUGUUUAUCUUUGUUUUUAUUGCAUUUGCUUUUGGGUUCUUGGUCAUGAAGUCUUUGCCUAAGCCAAUGUCUAGAAGGGUUUUUAUAAUGUUAUCUUCUGGAAUUUUUAUGGUUUCAGGUUUUAGAUUUAAGUCUUUGGUCCAUCUUGAAUUGAUUUUCAUAUAAGGUGGGAGAUGAGGACCCAGUUUCCUUCUUCUACAUGUGGCUUGCCAACUAUCCCAGCACUAUUUGUUGAAUAGGGUAUCCUUUUCCCAAUUUUUGGUGGCUUUGUCAAAGAUUAGUGGGCUGUAAAUAUUUGCAUGAGACAGAGAGAAAAGGAAGACUGAGCUUCUGAGUUAGCUAACUCACUUUGUCAAUAAUAGCAUUAAUCCAUUGUGGGCUUCGCCCUCAUGGCCUAGUCACCUCUUAAAGAUCCCACUUCUUAAUGUCAUCACAAUGGCAAUUAAAGUUCAACAGGAGUUUUAAAGGGAACAUUCAAACCAUAGCACCUUAUAAAGACUUUACAGAGGCAGGUUUAAAAGUAUGUGUCAGCUUUGAGGUAAGAUAGUUUUGCAUGAGUUUGGGCAGGAGAAUAUGGGGACAGGUUAAGCUUUGGAGCCUUGCCUCCUGGAGAAAAUUACAUUAUAUUUAUUUUGUAAUCAAAAGCCAAAUGAGUUUUUAAAAGAGUAAAAUUUACCCUUCAAGUUUAACAACAACAAAAAUAUCAGGUUUAACAAUGUGAAUAUAGGAUGAAAGUGAUUUUGAAAUGUAAAAACAGUUAGAAGGCAUAUCUGUGUUCAAAGUGAGUUCUAAUACUAGAAACCAGAUGUAUGCAUCCUCUUACUGCCAUUACUAUGAUGUUGUCUAAGGCCUGGAGAGUCAGACAGAGGGAUACACAGAAUUAAAUCAAACGUCAUUUAAAUAUCUAUAAGAUUUGUCAUGGGAACCUACAGCAAGACUGAAAGGUGAUCAGAAUGGAACCAGGCAGUAACUGAAUUAGUAAAAUUUAAUAAAUCACUCAGAUUGUCUCAGUGAGGAUAUUGCAGGCUUAAACCAGUUUGAAGAAAUAGAAAAUGUGUAACUUGAAUUCUGGGGGCCAUAAAACUGACUUAUUUGGAGGGCAUGGGCUUGUAUUCCCUAAUGGCAGAGUGACUCCAUAGGAGAGUUCCUCUUACUUAUUAGUGGCCUAUGGAGAGUCAGCCUGGCCAAAGCCUCUGGCCAGUGAGAAACCUGAGCAUGCCAAGACAGUCACCACAAUUCAUUUGAGAUGAUAAACUUUAACUUGCUUUCUUUAGUAAACAAAAUUUGUUUUACAAAAGGGAAGCAUCGAUUAAUCUUAGAGAUAAUGACUUGAACCCACAAUAUUAAUAUUUUUCUAUUAAUUUAACUAUAAUGGGCACAUUUGGAUUUAAAGAGAAUUGGAUGUAUUGUAAACAUAUAUCCUUGUGAUUCCAAGUUAAAAUAUGUAGUUUAGUAACUUAUUUGAUUUACAAUUCUUAAUUUGAAAUGCAUAAGAUAUUUUACUAAGUUUAUCGUGUUGAUUAUUUAAGAGAGCUUAGAAUUCACCGAAUUUUAAGUUUGGUAUAUUGAAUUCAGUUAAAUAUUUAAGUGGUUCAAAAAAUUUUCCUGGUAGUAACAUUAAAAAAAAGCGUGGCCAGGCGCGGUGGCUCAUGCCUGUAAUCCCAGCACUUUGGGAGGCUGA